rnacentral:rRNA from 1 species
AGAGUUUGAUCCUGGCUCAGGAUGAACGCUAGCUACAGGCUUAACACAUGCAAGUCGAGGGGCAGCAUGUUGGUUGCUUGCAACCAAUGAUGGCGACCGGCGCACGGGUGAGUAACGCGUAUCCAACCUACCCUUGUCCAUCGGAUAACCCGUCGAAAGGCGGCCUAACACGAUAUGCGGUUCACAGCAGGCAUCUAAGGUGAACGAAAUGUGAAGGAGAAGGAUGGGGAUGCGUCUGAUUAGCUUGUUGGGCGGGGUAACGCCCACAAGGCGACGAUCAGGUAGGGGUUCUGGAGAGGAACGGUCCCCCANAUUGGAACUGAGACACGGUACCAAACUCCGUACGGGAGGCA